AGCUCUUAUAUGUAGGCAGAUGCAUGGCGGAAAGCUUCGUUUUCACAAGUGCGCCGAUUUUUAUAUCCAGAACGCCUAUCAGGUCGAAAAUGAGACAAGCCAUCUAAACUGAUAUUACGACCCAUUCAAGUUUACAGCGUCCAUCAAGAUACCGUCGCUUCAGGUAGAAAUGUAGACGUUCGCGCAUCCGUUGACCUCACUUUAAACCUACAGCAAAAGUUUUCAGAGUGCUAUGUUUACCUUUUCGAAGAGAAUUCUCGGACACAGAAAUGUUACAU